GACGAACGCUGGCGGCGUGCUUAACACAUGCAAGUCGAACGGAAAGGCCCUGCUUUUGUGGGGUGCUCGAGUGGCGAACGGGUGAGUAACACGUGAGUAACCUGCCCUUGACUUUGGGAUAACUUCAGGAAACUGGGGCUAAUACCGGAUAGGAGCUCCUGCUGCAUGGUGGGGGUUGGAAAGUUUCGGCGGUUGGGGAUGGACUCGCGGCUUAUCAGCUUGUUGGUGGGGUAGUGGCUUACCAAGGCUUUGACGGGUAGCCGGCCUGAGAGGGUGACCGGCAACAUGGGGAAUUGUAUACGGCCCAGACCCCUCGGGGGGGCACCAGGGGGGAAUAUGGACAAAGGGGGGGGAGCCUGAUGCAGCAACCCCGCGGGGGGGAUGGCGGCUUUCGGGUUGUAAACCGCUUUCGCCUUUGCCGAAGGGUGAGGGACGGGAAUGGGUAAAGGAGCACCGGCUAACUAAGU
rnacentral:rRNA from 1 species